rnacentral:rRNA from 1 species
UCGGGAAAAUUCUGCAAUGUACGCAAGUAUGACAGAGCAAGCCAAAGUGCUCAACUUCGUGUUGAGCUUUUGUGCGCUGUAAAAAGGCGCACGAAUAAGGACUGGGCAAGACUGGUGCCAGCCGCCGCGGUAAUCCCAGCAGUCCAAGUCGCAGCCACAUUUGUUGGGUCUAAAACAUCCGUAGCUUGCCAUUCAAGUCUUUUGUGAAAUCGGGACUCUUAAGGUUCCGGCGGGCAAAAGAUACUGUUUGGCUAGAGACCGGAAGACGCAUCGAGUAUGGAAAGGGUAGUGGUAAAAUACGUUGAUCCUUUCCAGACUAACAACAGCGAAGGCACGGUGCGAGCACGGUUCUGACAGUGAGGGAUGAAGGCUAGGGGCGCAAAGUGG